UGACGCUAACAUUGCAGCAAAGGCAGGUUUAUGAAUGUAGCCGGUUGUGUGUGGCUAAAAAAUUUGAAGUUCUUCUCUUAAUCCAUCCAUGAGUAAAUAUGGAACAAUUUUAAAUUUAAUUACAUUUUGAUGAAAAGCGGAGCAAAAAAAUAAUUUUAGCCUCAAUGAAGGGUUUCGCUUCCACCGAAGAUGGGGGACUAAAGAAGCUAACGGUAAAGGCAGGGACGAACCCUUGCACGGAAAGCCUCCUGUUUCCGUUGAUGUCCAAAGCUUAAUCCCGCCUCCAAUGAGAAACACACCUAUCAGUGAUGGUUAUGGAGAAUGAUGGAUGUCCCCACAGCCAAACAGAGCCAGACACCCUGUCAGCCGUGGGCGGGACAGAACGGCUGGUCCCCAGCUUCACCUCAAGGACCCUCCUGCAACCCUCUGCCCAGCUUUCAGCACCUUAGCCUGAGCUCACCUUCUGACCAGAGACCUUGCUAUGAGCACCCUUGCUAUGAGCACCUGCAGGCAUCCGACCACAGCUGCCAGAGCGACUCCCCCGCCUUUUCAUACGGAAGCAUGCUUUAUGCUGAUAAUGAGGACCAGAGUGAGCAGCGAACCAUUCCUGAUGCUCAUGUUUCAUCCAUGGUUUCAGCAGCAAGUCAAGGGAGAAACAUACCUCCUUGUUCUCUCCCUCUUAUUAAGGAAGGGAUGCCACCUUGCAAGCUCCAACAAAUGCCAUUUUACUCUCCUUACAGCCCUUUCCAAGGAAUAUCUUCCCCUUUCCAGCCUCCACGCACACAGCAGGGUUCACUGAAUGGACCUCAGUCACCGCAUCAAAAAUAUCUUCCCAUUAGCCCUCCAUCAUUUGGUGCAAACCAGAGCCCACAAUAUACACCUCAGCCUGCAUUUGAGAGUCCAAAUGCUGAAUCCUCUGUUGGAUACCCACACAGUCUUGCCUCGCCCACCUCUCCCAUCCAACAACAGCCUCAGUGGACACCUGCAGCACACUCAAGAGGAACAAUAAACGAGUUUGUACCCAAUGUGGCUGCACAGGACAGGAACAUCACGCCACAGUCUCCUAACUCUGAGUCUCGUUAUGGCCUGGACCCGGAGCUCCUGCCUAGUGUUGUGAAGGUGAUUGCAGAGGACAGGGCAGAGUGGGAGGGCAAGGUCUUCGUCUCCGAGCCUUUUUCCCGUCUUCCUCCUCUGGCAACUACUUCCUGUAUCAUAGAGGACAAGGGUAACGCGAGUCCGUUUGCCAUCCGCUCCGCCUCGUACUGUGUGCCCUGUGACGGUCAGACUGCCCUGCUCAGCCGGCUGCCACUGGGAGCUCUGGUUACCCCUCUGGUAAAACAAAAUGCGGGCGAGAAGCCCCUGCCAGUGUGCAAAGAGCCAGAGUGUCUUACGGGUUGUGGUGGUUGCGGAGCCGCCAUGUGCCAUGCGAUGGGCUGGCAGGACUGUGGUCAGAGGUUUUACUGCCCCUUCUGUGGUAAACUCUGUGAAGUGCCGUGGCAACACUACCAGCCCACCAAAGGGGUGGAGGGGGUUCGGGUGGAUAAAGACAAGAGACCAGAACUCAGUAUGGGGUCAUACGAGAUACUUAAUUCACAGAAGGGUGAACCUGCUGCACUGCUUCUAGCCAUAGAUGUGUCCACGUCAGCGGUGAGAGGAGGACAUUUGGCGUUUGCAACACAACAAAUACUUACUUUGCUCACCUCUCUAAAGAGGGAAGACGCCGAUGCCUCGUCAGACAUCCGUGUUGGUUUGAUGACGUAUGACAGUAGGAUCCACCUGUACGAUCUCAGCCCCGCCCUGUCCCGCCCACACAUGCUGGUCAUCACAGAGACAGAUGACCUGCAGCUACCCGUGAGGGAGGGGCUUCUGGUGUCCUUGAAAGACUGUCUAGACAGUAUCGACAGUGUGUUACAGCUUAUUCCUCAGUUUAGUUCAGAGUGUGAUGACUCGAGUGGAGUUCCCAUGGAACUGCCUGUCAAAACAGGGCUAGCGGUACUGCAGGCCCUGUGUUGUCCCGGCAAGCUGCUGAUCUUCCAUACUGCCCCUCUGAUAGAGAUGGAACACACAAGCUUAUCCUCAGGGUUCUUUGGCUCCAACAAAUCAAAGUCCAUCUUUCAGCCAUCAGAGCCAGCCAUCUCAUUGGCCAAGGAGUGCGUCAGUCAGGGCUGCGGCGUUCACAUGUUUGUCCUCUCCCAGCAGGACGUGGGCGGGGCUUGGCCAGGGCACAUACCAUAUCUAACAGGUGGAGCUCUGUACACCUACAGCCACCUCCAGGGAGAAUUGGACAGAGAGCGUUUCCGCACUGAUCUAAAGAGCAUUGUAGACACGGACACCGGCUACAAGGCUGAGCUCAGGAUUUUUGUCAGCAAAGAUAUGCGUGUGUCUGGCUGUUAUGGACUUUUCAUCCCUGGGCCAAGCCCCAGCCAGGUCCCCAUGGCGACUCUCGAUUGGAGGACAACGCUGGCUAUGGAGCUCGCACACAGCAGAGCUCUGGAUGAGACAAGAGGUGUAACCAUACAGACGGUGUUGUCUUACAGCACCCAGACAGGAGACAGGAGGACCAGGGUUCACACUCUGACCCUGCGAUGCUCUCGCCACCUACAGGACACUUUCCGUCAGUACCAGGCCCAAACACUGCUAACCUUCUACUGCAAAAAAAUUUACUGUGCCGUGUUGGAGCGCCCUCUACAGGAGCUGAGGGAGGAACUGCAGAUGGAGGUGACAGAAGCGUUGGCGGCCUAUCGCAAACACUGCUGCUCUGCUUCAGUGUCUGCUGGACAGCUGGUCCUCCCUCAGUACCUGCGAGCACUUCCUGUUUACAUCAACAGUCUGAGGAAGAGCGAGGUGCUGCUGCCGGGCCUGAGGAGCUCCAUCCACCAGCGGCUGCAGCAGCGCUGCAGGGUGCUCAGCAUGGACACCUGCUGCACCUCCACACACUUCUACCCCCUGCUGCUGCCUCUGGUCAGUGGACAGCUCCAGCUCUCCAAACCAAGAAGAGGCACUGCGCUGCUGUGCUUCCAGCCUGGAGGCCAGAUGUCUGUAUUUGGUUCAUUCGCCCCUCACCCUGCUGCUCUGGGUGGGCAACCGAGUCCCAACAUGCACCAUGGUCGAGCUCUUCAACACCAGCUGCUUCUCCUCCCUGCCCUCUGGAGAGACCAAGCUGCCAGUCCUUGAAAACCCUCUGUCCAUCAGUGUUCGCUCCCUCAUCAACACCCUCAACUCCCAGGCACCCUGUGCCCGCAAGCUGUGGGUGGUGAAGCAGGGCGACACCUGCGAGGAGACCCUGCAGCGCCUCCUGGUGGAGGACAAGAGUCCCAACGGAGGGGCGUCCUAUGCAGACUUCCUCUACCAUCUCCACGUCAACUCUGUCCGGCUUCUGCAGUGACUUUACACACACACAAAUGUUCUUACUUCUAUGGGUGCAUUAACUUCUAUUCUAAAGAUGACACUGCAUCAUAUUUGCCUCAAAAAAAAGGAAACAGAAGGAUGGUAACGAAAGUAUCACUAGACGUUAAUAUAAUGUGGAAACGUCAAAGAGCUUUUGUCAGAGAGCAGGCGGUGCAUGGGAGCAGUUUAAGAGAUUUCAUGGCUGCUGUGAUAUGUGUGACGUGUGCUGUGUUGAAUGUGAUCCGUGCUAUUCUAAAGAGGUGUUUAUUAUGUUAAUUUAUUCCUGUGUGUGUGUGUGUGUGUGUGUGUGUGU